rnacentral:rRNA from 1 species
CGGCGKCGGCUUCCGUGCGGCUCGCGAUGCCCGGCGUCUCGGCGCCGGCGCACGCGGUCGCUGCGGCAUGACCGUUACCGUUCGSUUGCACUUCUCCCCUAGUAGGACGUCSCGACCCGUUGGGUGCYGGCCUACGGCCCGUUUGGUAGUCUGUCGCGUCGCGUUCACGCGCKCUCACGUKUCAGGCCAACGGUCGCCCGGUCGGCUGCCCGGCGGUAUCGAACGCUUUGAAAAACAGGUAUUGAGCCGCACCUCGGUGCGUCUUGGCCCGUCGCAAUACGCGCCUCSCCCGGAUUUACSAACCCAGUCUCGUUGCUGGGCGCUUGGCGUGUACUUUGUCSUACGGUGUCCUCGGACAGGCUCGUUGCCGCGCUCGCGCGGCAUACCCGUCGGCGACGCUUUUGCUUUGGGUACUUUCAGGACCCGUCUUGAAACCGGACCAAA